rnacentral:rRNA from 1 species
CACGGAGUUAGCCGAUCCUUAUUCUUACGGUACCGUCAAGACUCUACACGUAGAGUUGUUUCUUCCCGUACAAAAGCAGUUUACAAUCCAUAGGACCGUCAUCCUGCACGCGGCAUGGCUGGUUCAGGCUUGCGCCCAUUGACCAAUAUUCCUCACUGCUGCCUCCCGUAGGAGUCUGGUCCGUGUCUCAGUACCAGUGUGGGGGAUCUCCCUCUCAGGACCCCUACCCAUCGUUGCCUUGGUAAGCCGUUACCUUACCAACUAGCUAAUGGGACGCAUGCUCAUCUUUCACCGUUGUGACUUUAAUAUGAUCUCGAUGCCAAGUUCAUAUACUAUGAGGUAUUAAUCCAAAUUUCUCUGGGCUAUCCCUCUGUGAAAGGUAGAUUGCAUACGCGUUACGCACCCGUGCGCCGGUCUCUAAAUCCGAAGACUUAUACCCCUCGACUUGCAUGUGUUAAGCCUGCCGCUAGCGUUCAUCCUGAGCCAGGAUCAAACU